GGCGCCGAGCGAGGGGCCAGGCCCUGGCACAGCCGGCACCCCCCGCCCUGAGGCCCGUCAGGGGCGGGCGGAUGCUUGGGCGUCGCCUCAGCUACCCCAGGCGCCUGGGCAGGAGGGCUCGGGCGGGCGCCGCUGAAGGGAGGGGACUGCGGGGGGCGGGUUAACAGCACCCAAGGCCGUUGUAGGCUUCAGCCGUCCCCAAAGGAGCGGGGACCCGGCGCAAGGCUCGGUGCCUGUGAAGCGCAACAUGGCGACAAGGCCGACGGCACCCGGAGGCCUAGUAGGUACUGAGAACCGGCGAGGCUAAAGCGGCCUGGACGACCAUUAAGACCUCUUACGUCUGGGCGGCGCGGAGACUACAUUUCCCAGAGGGCCUCGCGCGGCGCGGGCUUGGCGGGGGCGGGGAAAAGGAAGCGCCUCGGAGCCAGUGCGCAGGCGUGAGAGUCCCCGCUGGCUACUUAAGGGAGGCUCGCUCGCUGUUCUUCCUUUCGCGUCUGCGGCGCUCUCUCUUCUUUGUGGUGUGCUGUCUGUUCCUCAUCCGAUGUCGUCUCAACCCUGGAAUCAGAAUUUGCUACUGUACGUGAUUUGCGUGAUCAGACGCUACAGAAUGAAUCUUGGCGGAGGGGUCCCUGCCGGGGCUCCAAGGGAACCACGUGUCGACAGGCAGAACCUUCAGCUUCCUGACGUCUGGAGACCAGAGCCCUGUGUACAUCAGGGCCUACAUAGGUUGAUGGCUGCCUGAUUUCAGUUUGGUUCAGUUCUGUAAUAGGAAUUUCAGCUGUGGAGUCAGAAUGCAAGGCCUCUUGAGAAAGAUGUACAUUUACUUCUGAGAAAGCAUGAAGAUUUAGGUUGUUGUUUAACCUGAGUGUCCAGAGGUAAAAAUCUUGUGGCUGUUGUGAAAAAUGUAGUGUUAUAUUAAGUUUUGGUUAUUAAGGUUUUAACUUUGUAGCCUUCCUGUCUGGAGAAAUAAAAUCCUUUAAAUGAAAAUGCUGUUCUCUUGAGUCAUUAGACCUUGAACCAAAUGAUACUGAGUUAAAAGGUGGAUCCCACACUCUACAUGACUUGUUGACAUCCUCUGAUAGUUCCCUUCCUCUCUUAACCUCCUAACCUUGAUGAAACAAGCUAGCAAAAAUUAAGAGACCUCGAGCCAAUAAGGGAAUAAGGGCUGCCUGGUGGCUCAGGCAGUGAAGACUGCAGUUCAGGAGACCUGAUUUCAAUCCCUAGGUUGGGGAGAUCUGGAGAAGAAUGACAACCUACUCUGGUAUCCUUGACUGGAGAAUUCCAUGGACAGCAUCCUUGUGUGCUGCUGAACAAAGAUUUUAGUCUUGGUUUUUUAAUCUGUACUGCACUGCCUGUGGGAUCGUAGUUGCCACUUAGAACAGCUGCAGCAGAAACAGUUUUUUUUUUUUAAGCACAGAAAGUGUUGGACACAGCCCCCACCAGGCUCUGUCCAUGAAAUGCUUUAGACAGAAAUACUGUCAGUUCAGUUGCUCAGUCAUGUCUGGACUCUGACCCCAGCACGCCUAGCUUCCCUGUCCAUCACCAACUCCUGGAGCUUGCUCAAACUCAGGUCCAUUGAGUCGGUGAUGCCAUCAGAUCCUCUCAUGCUCUGUUGCUCCCUUCUGCCUUCAAUCUCCCAGCAUCAGUGUCUUUUCCAGUGAGCAUCAAGUAGCUAAAGUAUUGGGAGUUUUGCUUCAGCA
ensembl:lncRNA